rnacentral:rRNA from 1 species
GAUGAACGCUGGCGGCGUGCUUAACACAUGCAAGUCGAACGAGAAAUGUAGACGGAAACCUUCGGGCGGAAGCCUUCAUUUCGAGUGGCGGACGGGUGAGUAACGCGUGGGUAACCUGCCUCAUACAGGGAGGUAACAGUUGGAAACGACUGUUAAUACCGCAUAAGACCACAGCAUCGCAUGAUGCGGGGGUAAAAACUCCGGUGGGAUGAGAUGGACCCGCGUUCGAUUAGCCAGUUGGUGGGGUAACGGCCCACCAAAGCGACGAUCGAUAGCCGAUCUGAGAGGAUGACCGGCCACACUGGGACUGAGACACGGCCCAGACUCCUACGGGAGGCAGCAGUGGGGAAUAUUGCACAAUGGGGGAAACCCUGAUGCAGCGACGCCGCGUGAGUGAAGAAGUAAUUCGGUAUGUAAAGCUCUAUCAGAAGGGAAGAAAAUGACGGUACCUGAGGAAGAAGCCCCGGCUAACUACGUG